UAUGCUGGUCAAGGUGAGAUUUGGUUCAAGUCAGAAGUAUGUUAAGGUGGCAGAAACCGAAGCAGGCUAUGAAGACUACAAUACAUUUAUUGAGAGUAAUAGGAAAGUUAGGUCUUCCUCUACAGACAGACUUGCACUUGACGGAUCAAUCAGGGACAGAGGUGGAUGCAGAUGUGUUUGAGGAACUUUUACAAGCAGGGGACCUUACCGUCAAUGUGUCCACAGAAAAGUCUGGAGUUGUGCUUCAACCAGAUCUAGCAGAAAUUUCCUUUGAGUCGAAUGUGUCAGACAACGUAUCCUCUGUGCCUU